rnacentral:rRNA from 1 species
CGUAGGGAGCGAGCGUUGUCCGGAAUUACUGGGUGUAAAGGGAGCGUAGGCGGGAUCUUAAGUCAGGUGUGAAAACUAUGGGCUCAACCCAUAGACUGCACUUGAAACUGAGGUUCUUGAGUGAAGUAGAGGCAGGCGGAAUUCCUAGUGUAGCGGUGAAAUGCGUAGAUAUUAGGAGGAACAUCAGUGGCGAAGGCGGCCUGCUGGGCUUUUACUGACGCUGAGGCUCGAAAGCGUGGGAGCAAACAGGAUU